rnacentral:misc_RNA from 1 species
GAUGAAGAACGUAGCGAAAUGCGAUAAGUAAUGUGAAUUGCAGAAUUCAGUGAAUCAUCGAAUCUUUGAACGCACAUUGCGCCCGCUAGUAUUCUGGCGGGCAUGCCUGUCCGAGCGUCAUUUCAACCCUCAAGCCCCCGGGCUUGGUGUUGGGGAUCGGCGAGCCUCCGCGCCCGCCGUCCCCUAAAUCUAGUGGCGGUCUCGCUGUAGCUUCCUCUGCGUAGUAGCACACCUCGCACUGGGAAACAGCGCGGCCACGCCGUUAAACCCCCAACUUCUGAACGUUUGACCUCGGAUCAGGUAGGAAUACCCGCUGAACUUAAGCAAGUCAAUAAGCGGAGGA